AGUGAACGCUGGCGGUAGGCCUAACACAUGCAAGUCGAACGGCAGCACAGUAAUAGCUUGCUCUUACGGGUGGCGAGUGGCGGACGGUGGAUGAAUACAUCGGAAUCUGCUUUUGCGUGGGGGAGAACAUAGGGAAACUUACGCUAAUACCGCAUACGAACUACGUGUGAAAGCAUGGGAUCUUCGGACAUUGCGCGAUCGAAUGAGCCGAUGUCGGAUUAGCUAGUUGGCGGGGUAAAGGCCCACCAAGGCGACGAUCCGUAGCUGGUCUGAGAGGAUGAUCAGCCACACUGGAACUGAGACACGGUCCAGACUCCUACGGGAGGCAGCAGUGGGGAAUAUUGGACAAUGGGCGCAAGCCUGAUCCAGCCAUACCGCGUGGGUGAAGAAGGCCUUCGGGUUGUAAAGCCCUUUUGUUGGGAAAGAAAAGCAGCAGGUUAAUACCCCGCUGUUCUGACGGUACCCAAAGAAUAAGCACCGGCUAACUUCGUG
rnacentral:rRNA from 1 species